GACGAAUGCUGGCUGCGUGCUUAACACAUGCAAGUCGAACGGUGAAGGAGGGCUUGCCCUCCGGAUCAGUGGCGAACGGGUGAGUAACACGUGGGCAACCUGCCCCUCACUCUGGGAUAACGCCGGGAAACCGGCGCUAAUACCGGAUACGACCAGGCGCGACAUCUCGCCUGGUGGAAAGAAUUUCGGUGAGGGAUGGGCCCGCGGCCUAGCAGCUAGUUGGUGGGGUAACGGCCCACCAAGGCGACGACGGGUAGCCGGCCUGAGAGGGCGACCGGCCACACUGGGACUGAGACACGGCCCAGACUCCUACGGGAGGCAGCAGUGGGGAAUAUUGCGCAAUGGGCGAAAGCCUGACGCAGCGACGCAGCGUGAGGGACGAAGGCCUUCGGGUUGUAAACCUCUUUCAGCGGGGACGAAGCGAAAGUGACGGUACCCGCAGAAGAAGCACCGGCUAACUACGUGCCAGCAGCCGCCGUAACAC
rnacentral:rRNA from 1 species